rnacentral:rRNA from 1 species
AUUGAACGCUGGCGGCAGGCCUAACACAUGCAAGUCGAGCGAGCGGCGGACGGGUGAGUAAUGUAUGGGGCCUGCCCGAUAGAGGGGGAUAACUACUGGAAACGGUGGCUAAUACCGCAUACUAUCGGAUAACCCAUAUGGGAUUAGCUAGUAGGUGGGGUAAAGGAUCACCUAGGCGACGAUCUCUAGCUGGUCUGAGAGGAUGAUCAGCAAAACGGGAACUGAGAACGGGCCAAGACGCCUACGGAGCCAGAGGUGGGGAAUAUUGCACAAGGGGCGCAAGCCGGAUGCAGCAAUGCCGCGUGUAGGAAGAGGGCCUUAGGGUUGAAAAGUCCUUUCGGCGGGAAGGCGUUACCCGCAGAAGAAGCACCGGCUAACUCCGUGCCAGCAGCCGCGGUAAUUC